GACGAACGCUGGCGGCGUGCCUAAUACAUGCAAGUUGAGCGCUGAAGGUUGGUACUUGUACCAACUGGAUGAGCAGCGAACGGGUGAGUAACGCGUGGGGAAUCUGCCUUUGAGCGGGGGACAACAUUUGGAAACGAAUGCUAAUACCGCAUAAAAACUUUAAACACAAGUUUUAAGUUUGAAAGAUGCAAUUGCAUCACUCAAAGAUGAUCCCGCGUUGUAUUAGCUAGUUGGUGAGGUAAAGGCUCACCAAGGCGAUGAUACAUAGCCGACCUGAGAGGGUGAUCGGCCACAGUGGGACUGAGACACGGCCCAAACUCCUACGGGAGGCAGCAGUAGGGAAUCUUCGGCAAUGGACGAAAGUCUGACCGAGCAACGCCGCGUGAGGGAAGAAGGUUUUCGGAUCGUAAAACUCUGUUGGUAGAGAAGAACGUUGGUGAGAGUGGAAAGCUCAUCAAGUGACGGUAACUACCCAGAAAGGGACGGCUAACUACGUG
rnacentral:rRNA from 1 species